rnacentral:lncRNA from 1 species
UUUUCCAGGGGAUUAGGCGCCCCGUCCGGAUGGAGAAGCGACUCAGGGCCCAGCACCAGGGCUCACGCCUGUAAUCCCAGGGCUUUGAGAGACUGAGGCGAGCUGAUUGUUUGACCUCGGAGUUGGAGACCAGCUUGGGCAACACAGCAAGACCCCAUCUCUACAAAAAAAUUUAAAAAAAUGUUCCGAGGUGGUGGUGCGCACCUGUGAUCCCAGCUACCCGGGAGGCUGAGGGAGGAGGACCACGUUUUCAAAAUUCACUUCUACAGAUCGUAAUUCCAGAGAAAAUCCAAACAAAUACAAAUGACAGUUCAGAAAUAGAAUAUGAACAAAUAUCCUAUAUUAUUCCAAUAGAUGAGAAACUGUACACUGUGCACCUUAAACAAAGAUAUUUUUUAGCAGAUAAUUUUAUGAUCUAUUUGUACAAUCAAGGAUCUAUGAAUACUUAUUCUUCAGAUAUUCAGACUCAAUGCUACUAUCAAGGAAAUAUUGAAGGAUAUCCAGAUUCCAUGGUCACACUCAGCACGUGCUCUGGACUAAGAGGAAUACUGCAAUUUGAAAAUGUUUCUUA